AUUGAACGCUGGCGGCAGGCUUAACACAUGCAAGUCGAACGGUAACAUGAGUGCUUGCACUUGAUGACGAGUGGCGGACGGGUGAGUAAAGUAUGGGGAUCUGCCAAAUGGAGGGGGACAACAGUUGGAAACGACUGCUAAUACCGCAUAAAGUUGAGAGACCAAAGUACGGUUCCGAAAGGACGUGCGCCAUUUGAUGAACCCAUAUGGGAUUAGCUAGUUGGUGGGGUACAGGCUCACCAAGGCGACGAUCUCUAGCUGGUCUGAGAGGAUGACCAGCCACACUGGAACUGGGCCACGGUCCAGAAUCCUACGGGAGGCAGCAGUGGUGAAUAGUGCACAAUGGGGGAAACCCUGAUGCAGCCAUGCCGCGUGUAUGAAGAAGGCCUUCGGGUUGUAAAGUACUUUCGGUAGUGAGGAAGUUGUGUGUAUGAAAAGUGCAUGCAGUUGACGUUAGCUACAGAAGAAGCACCGGCUAACUCCGUGCCAGCCGCCGCCGUAA
rnacentral:rRNA from 1 species